rnacentral:tRNA from 1 species
GCGUAGUGUAGUGGUUAACAUGCCUGCCUGUCACGCAGGAGAUCGCGGGUUCGAGUCCCGUCGGGACCGCCA